CAACUAUGGCUCUGAAAUCGUUGUCUGGAUUGUAGGAGUUAUACUUUACAUACUUCCUUGUGGUGUGCAAACAUUUUUGGAAGGUACUUACUUUCCUUCAUUGGACAAAAUAUAUGUUGUGAAGAAAUUAUAAAUCACCUUACAAAUUGUCCAUGCCGCCGCCUUGAUUCGCUAGCCGCUGCCUAGAGUCACCCUGCUGCCGUCUCAAGCCAAACCGUGCGUCAACUCCACCACUGCAGCCAGGAAUCCCUUCCCUGGCAAGCUUACUUCCUCUGAAUCCCAGCUCUACCUGGUCCUCCUGCCGAGCUUAUUACAUCUAUGAUGUGUGUGUGCUUGCUACCUUGCUGCUGGGUGCUUUGUCGUUGGGUGUUGAGCCGCUGAUGUCCUGAUGCCGAUGCUUUGUUGUAUAUAUAUUUGUAUAAUGCUUGUAUCUUGCUUUGUUCUAAAGUGACUAUUUUCCUUGUUGUGGCUGACCUGCUGAUAUUGCUGCUUUGCUGGCCAGGGAGUAAGUUCAAUGAUAUACAGACACAAGAGAUAUUCAGUUAUGUUGUUGGGGAAAUUAAUGAUCAUUCAGUCAACAAAUGGGGCAAUAUAUUGAUCUCAUUUCAUCGUAGGCAUUGAUUAUUUGUUGUCUUCUUUGCAUGCAUUUUAUUAAUUAUUUAUACAUACUCGUCGUAUCUUUGUACUGUUGUUUUUAUAAAAUGUCGUUUCCUGUGUGCCCGUUUCCAUAUCAUCGUAUGUAUGUUGCUGUACGACGCUUCAUAGCAAAAACUUAUACUCACUAAAGAAAGUGUUCCUUUUCUUGUUCCAUUGCUCGAUAAGUAUGAUCAUGUUUCUACUGAUUGAUUAUACAUAUGAUCUUUCUUUUGAUUAUUUUGCGGUGUUUCUGAUUGACACUAUGAGGCGCUUCCUUGUCAUGCAGAUUCAUCCUUUAGUUAAAUUCUGAUGAUGAUAUGGUUGUAAAUUAGUCUGGUAUAUGCCAAUAGUUGUCUCUCCUAGAAGAUUUUUUGUCAGAAUAGCUUACUAAAGAUUUGGUUGUUUGUCUAGAUUUUACACCCAACUAUAAGAAUGGGUGACAACACUGAUUGGCUCUAUUGUGCUUCUGUGUUGUCCAGAUGCAUCAUUUACUUAUACACUAAUGAUAUUGUUGUAGCUAAACAAAUGGGUCAAAACCACAUCAACCCAGCUAUAAGAAUGCAAUCUUAUGAUUCAUACUCACCUAUGGCUGCUAUAUUGUACAUUCUUUUGAUGAAACUAUAUUGUACAUUUAAUAACAUGACUUCUUCCAUGAGAGAGCACUUCUUAGAGGUUUAACUGAGUGAGAUGGGGUUUAGGCACAAGAAGAGGAACCAUGGGUGGGUGCUCUUGCAAUGCUCGGCUAACUCCCAAGACUGCUAGGGGAAGGACUUCCUGGGAUGGCAAGGCAGAUUGAAGGUGGUCACGGCCAUCUCACGGAGAUGGUGCAAGCUGUCAAGAAUCACGGUGCUGGGGCACUACACUUCGCCUCCGGGUGCAAGAUGGCGGAAGUGUGCGAGUACCUGUUGAGGUUGUCCAGGUGGACGUGGAUGCUGUUGACCAAGCAGGGCAUUGUGAAAUAGUAGAACUCUUGCUCUCUAGGGGUGCUUAUGUCGAUCUAUUUUAUAUGGAUCAUGGGACUCCAUUGCAUGAUAAACAUAAGCAGGAUGUAACCGUGAAG